rnacentral:rRNA from 1 species
GACGAACGCUGGCGGCGUGCUUAACACAUGCAAGUCGAACGGUAAGGCCCUUCGGGGUACACGAGUGGCGAACGGGUGAGUAACACGUGGGUGAUCUGCCCUGCACUUCGGGAUAAGCCUGGGAAACUGGGUCUAAUACCGGAUAGGACCACUGCCUGCAUGGGUGGUGGUGGAAAGCUUUUGCGGUGUGGGAUGGGCCCGCGGCCUAUCAGCUUGUUGGUGGGGUGAUGGCCUACCAAGGCGACGACGGGUAGCCGGCCUGGGAGGGUGACCGGCCACACUGGGACUGAGAUACGGCCCAGACUCCUAUGGGAGGCAGCAGUGGGGAAUAUUGCACAAUGAGCGCAAGCCUGAUGCAGCGACGCCGCGUGAGGGAUGACGGCCUUCGGGUUGUAAACCUCUUUCAGCACCGACGAAGCGCAAGUGACGGUAGGUGCAGAAGAAGGACCGGCCAACUACGUGCCAGCCGCCGCCGUAA